CUCAGUAUUUUUUUUGUUUUAUUAUUUUUUUUAAAAAAAUGGUAUAUUCAUACAAUUUUGAUAUGAACGCAUCUAGCAAGAUCAAAAAAUGAAACAUCACAAAAAGCAGACAGCAUAAAGAACAUAUCAAUCCACGUCAUAUCUCCGAAGUUCUCUGCGAUGAAGGAGGUAACCUAGUCGUUGUAGUGUUAGCCUCCCUGCAAACAUGCCUGAUACAAAUGGAGGAGGCCCCCCAUCUCUGAUGUGGCAUAG
rnacentral:lncRNA from 1 species